AUCCUGAGGAUGAGAUGAGAAAGAGCUGCUCCACGGUCAAGGUUGUGAACGACAAAGGAACGGUUAUCCUUUUAUGGUCUUCCUCCAAGCUUUUGAGGACAACGAUAAAUUAUUUUUAAAAAGCCAAGGAGACAGGAUUGGAGAGGUGCCAGCAUUCCAGUUGGAGAACCAGACUGUCUACUUCUGCACCCAACCCACCUUCAGCAUGAUCUCUAUUCCCACCCUCAUCAUUUUCCUUCUCAGUCGACUCACAUGAUAACCGCUCCUUUGGAAGGCACCUUGCUAGGACAACGCAGUGAGCUCAGCCAACUGUUCCAUGAUUUGCUCCUUGAGGAUGAAGAGAAGACACAGACCUUAAUCAAACAUACAUGCCCAUAGCUCUAUGAUGAUGCACCAUGACAAGUGCCAUGCAGGCGAAGAAUAGUUUCCUGUAAACUCUGUCAAGGAAAUAGAAGACAAUCUCGCCAAUUUACAAGUUCCUGGAAAGAUGAUUUUCAUCUACCAGGGCAGGUUCUGGAAGUCCAAGGAAAGGGACAAGAGAGCAAGGGCAGCAGAGGCAUUCAGGCUGUGUCGUGUUGGAUAAUGUCCUUCCAAAAUCCAUGUCCAUCCACAACCUCAGAAAGGUAAACUUAAUGGGAAAAUAAGGGCUGUGCAGAUGCCAUUAGUUAAGGACCGCAAGAUGAAAUCAGCUGGUGCCCUUUAUAAGAAGAAGAGACCCAAAGAGACCCACAGAGAAGGUCAUGUGAAGACGGAGGCAGAGACAGCAGAGAUGCUGCCAUAAGCCAAGGAACAUCUGGGGCCAUCCAAAAUUGGCAGCAGCAAGGAAGAACCCUCUCCUAAAGCCUGCAGAGGGAUGGGAGUUCCCAUUGUGGUUCAGCAGGUUAGAAACCUGAAUAGUGUCCAUGAGGAUGAGGGUUUGAUUCCUGGCCUCCCUCAGAGGGUUAAGGAUCCAGAUUCCAUAAGCUGCAUCGCAGGUUGCAGAUAUGGCUCAGAUCCUGCGUUACUGUCACUGUGGCACAGGCUGGCAGCUGCAGCUCCGAUUGGACCCCUAGCCUGGGAACCUCCAUAUGCCACGAGGGCAGCCCUAAAAAGCAAAAUAAUAAUAGUAAUUAAUUAAUUAUAAAAAAGAAAAGACUGCAGAGGGAGCAUGACCCCACUGACACCUUGAUUUUGUACUUCUAGCCUCCAGAACAGGGAGAGCAUACAUUUCUGUUGGGUUAAGCCACCCAGUCUGUGGCCAUUUGUUAUAGCAGCUCUAGGAAGCCAAUAAAUAAACAGUAUUUCAACAUUUAACACUUUAUAUCAGCCUCAAUCCAGUCCAGACUCCUCCUGUUCCUGAUACUGAAUACUGAAUAACUGGGAAACUGGAGCCCAGGAUUAAUAACGGGAUGCAGAUAAAAUUGCACCUCAAAAUCAGUCCCACUUUCCUUCCCUGACACUCCCUGUCUGAGGGCAAAUGAGAAGGAAGUGGAGGGCUGGGCGGGGUGGGAGGGGUCCCUUCUCUGUCCCCUGCUGUGCCCACCCGUCUGGUCUCUCUGUGCUUGCCAGGCACCCCAGGCCACCCUGCCUCGUUCCACUGCCGGAACCUUUGCCAAAACCCAUAUUUAGCUGUUGAAAGUUCCUUGCCUGGGUGCCUCUGAAGUUAAUGAUGGAAUCUUUGAAAAUGACAUUAGAAGCAAAACAUAAGCAGCAGA
rnacentral:lncRNA from 1 species